GACUUUUUAAAAUCAUAGUCGCACACCUCAUGUAGCCUAGCCCAUAGGUUGAUAUGUUUUGAUAAGGUUAGUAUCACACCUCAUGUAGCCUAGCCCAUAGGUUGAUAUGUUUUGAUAAGGUUAGUAUCACACCUCAUGUAGCCUAGCCCAUAGGUUGAUAUGUUUUGAUAAGGUUAGUAUCACAACGGUGUAGAGUCUAAAUGGCAUACAUACACAGUGUGUGAGUUUCAAGUUUGGGGAAGAUCAUUUUCACCUUAAAAAUUCACCUUAAUAAUAAAAAGCAUUACAUGCAUAAUUACAAUUGCGAUCACUUUUGAGAAUGGUGUUUUCCUGCCAAUUGAUUGCAUUUUGGAACGUUUGCGCUUAUAACCUAUUGCCGUGUGCGCAUUGCCUCGUUUAUAAUGUGAAGAAAUAGCCUAAUAGUUUAUCAACAUUUUAAGCUAAAUGUUCUGAUCUGUUGCGUCAACCUCAUGGCUUAAAACAGUUUUGUUGUUGCUCGUGGUUGUAUUAAUUAGGGAUCUAACACAUCCCACAACUUGUCCCAGGCUAUGUUUAGAAUAUGUAUUUCUCACACAGAAUAGAAUAGGUCAACAGUUUUACCAUGGGGAUAGUAGAUUGACAUAGGCAGCCUAAUAACAAAACAGAGCUCAUGCCUUUCAUCAAAUCAUCGUUUAAAGUCCCAUCACGCGACCUUAGAAUGUAUUAAAAAGAUUGAAACAUACAGCCCAACAUCUGUAUCACAACUAAAGUUGCAUAAAUAACUCUAAAUAAAGCAUAUAGGAGAAUCCCUCAAAUCCUUUGGAGAAAUGAUCCUUUCUAUUUUAUUCAGCUGUGUUCAAUUCUGUUCUUCAUACUAUAAAACAAUUUAAAAUACCACCACGGAAUUGUAGGCUAAAAUGUGUCUGCUAAAUGAACUAGUGUAGUCCAUAGCCAGAUCAGGGCCUAACAUGAUAACUCAGAGUAUGCUAUUCUGUUCUUCUGAAAUAAACUACGUUUUCUUCAUAUCAUGUUUCUUUAGACCUGUUUAAAAUAAAUCAUGGAUUUAUUGUGAAGGUAUAGACUAUAUUACAUGGAUUUAUUGUGAAGGUGUAGACUAUAUUACAUGGAUUUAUUGUGAUGGUGUAGACUAUAUUACAUGGAUUUAUUGUGAUGGUGUAGACUAUAUUACAUGGAUUUAUUGUGAAGGUGUAGACUAUAUUACAUGGAUUUAUUGUGAUGGUGUAGACUAUAUUACAUGGAUUUAUUGUGAUGGUGUAGACUAUAUUACAUGGAUUUAUUGUGAAGGUGUAGACUAUAUUACAUGGAUUUAUUGUGAUGGUGUAGACUAUAUUACAUGGAUUUAUUUUGAUGGUGUAGACUAUAUUACAUGGAUGUAUUGUGAUGGUAUAGACUAUAUUACAUGGAUUUAUUGUGAUGGUAUAGACUAUAUUACAUGGAUUUAUUGUGAUGGUGUAGACUAUAUUACAUGGAUUUAUUGUGAUGGUGUAGACUAUAUUACAUGGAUUUAUUGUGAUGGUGUAGACUAUAUUACAUGGAUUUAUUGUGAUGGUGUAGACUAUAUUACAUGGAUUUAUUGUGAUGGUGUAGGUAGACUAUAUUACAUGGAUUUAUUGUGAUGGUGUAGACUAUAUUACAUGGAUUUAUUGUGAUGGUGUAGGUAGACUAUAUUACAUGGAUUUAUUGUGAUGGUGUAGACUAUAUUACAUGGAUUUAUUGUGAUGGUGUAGGUAGACUAUAUUACAUGGAUUUAUUGUGAUGGUGUAGACUAUAUUACAUGGAUUUAUUAGAUUUUUUAAAAUGUAGAUGUUCUGAAGGUCUGCAUCAGUGGUUUGUAGGCUACGUGUGGAAGCCAGGAGAAGCUAAAUGUGUUUAUGUUCAUUAACGGUCGAUUACUGUGAGAACGGUGGUUAUUUGCUUGACAUCACCGGCAGACUAAACGUCAUGGCCGCCACAGCCCCGCUCCAGGAAUUUGCUAAAUUCAAUUCACCUUGUCUCCCAUGUACAGUACAUGUUCAGAAGACAAGGGGUAGAUGAAACGUAAUGGAUUCUAAUCCAGAUGGCCUUAACUGGGUUCAAACUCUAUUGUUGCCCCGUGUUUCUGGAUGACACCAGUUAAACACAGCACAUUUCAUUCAACCACUUUGUCUUUAGAGAGAGACGGAGCAGGGGGGGGAUGUUGGGGUGACAAUGGGCUGUCCGACACUCACAACGGAGAGCGUGUCAGCCAGGAUAUCUUUCUGCCUGAGCUCCUUUCUGAGUUUAACUGCAUUGGAUUUUUGUUUGGCGGCGGAGUGUAUAUCAAGCCACCCCCCUUUGUGCGGCCACCGGUAAUGGUAAUGAAAGCAUGGCUAAAAUAUCUAAGUGGUCGUACUUCGUUAAGGAAGCGGCGGGAGCGGUGGUGGGAGCGGUGAAGGGGAGGGGCUGUAGGAGGCUGUAGGAUCGUGCUUGGGGUGAGAAUCAGUCUGCAUAAGGUAAGCGCAGAGAGGGAGAGAGGGAGAGGGGAUAGAAAGAGAGAGGGAGGGAGAGAGAGGGGAGAGGGAAGGAGAGAGGGAGAUAGAGAGAAUGGGCCUGCUGCAGAGAGGGAGAGAGAGAGGGGGGAUAGAAAGAGAGAGGGAGGGAGAGAGAGAGGGAGAGGGAAGGAGAGAGGGAGAUAGAGAGAAUGGGCCUGCUGCAGUUUGGCAGCCAGUUGUAAUGCAUCUCUAUGACAUCAUUCUCUGACAAAGUGUGAGGACGUCAUCAAAUUAAAGGCAUUUGUUUUAUGUAGAGUUACAGAUGUCUGAUGCUAUAUUGAAAUUCCAGUACUCCUUCACCUCCACAUUCACUGGUUCUAGCUAAAUUGGAAAAAAAAUGAUAUCACUGUCUGUCUGUCUUGUCUUGUCUGUCUGUCUGUCUGUCUGUCUGUCUGUCUGUCUGUCUGUCUGUCUGUCUGUCUGUCUGUCUGUCUGUCUGUCUGUCUGUCUGUCUGUCUGUCUGUCUGUCUGUCUGUCUGUCUGUCUGUCUGUCUGUCUGUCUGUCUGUCUGUCUGUCUGUCUGUCUGUCUGUCUGUGUCUUUCUCCCUUUGUGCUGGUGAGUUAAGAGCAUGACCCGGGUACUGUUAUCCUCAUUACGAGUUGAGUGGAUGCAUUACUUCCCUCUGCUCUGUUGUGUCCCUCUGCUCUGCUGUGUCCCUCUGCUCUGCUGUGUCCCUCUGCUCUGCUGUGUCCCUCUGCUCUGCUGUGUCCAUCUUCCCUGCUGUGUCCCUCUGCUCUGCUGUGUCCAUCUUCCCUGCUGUGUCCCUCUGCUCUGCUGUGUCCCUCUGCUCUGCUGUGUCCCUCUGCUCUGUUGUGUCCAUCUUCCCUGCUGUGUCCCUCUGCUCUGCUGUGUCCAUCUUCCCUGCUGUGUCCCUCUGCUCUGCUGUGUCCAUCUUCCCUGCUGUGUCCCUCUGCUCUGCUGUGUCCAUCUUCCCUGCUGUGUCCCUCUGCUCUGCUGUGUCCAUUUUCCCUGCUGUGUCUGAGCGUGAGUGGCAGGAGGAAAAUCAAUCCCAGAUGCAGGCCCAGUCUCAGUCCCCGAGCUGGACCCAAUACCAGUCCCAGUCCCAGUCCCAGUCCCAAUACCAGUCCCAAUACCAGUCCCAGUCCCAGUCCCAGACCCAGUCCCAGUCCCAGUCCCAGUCCCAGUCCCAGACCCAGUCCCAGUCCCAAUACCAGUCCCAGUCCCAGUCCCAGUCCCAGUCCCAAUACCAGUCCCAGUCCCAGACCCAGUCCCAGUCCCAGUCCCAGUCCCAGUCCCAGUCCCAGUCCCAAUACCAGUCCCAGUCCCAGUCCCAAUACCAGUCCCAGACCCAGUCCCAGUCCCAGUCCCAGUCCCAGUCCCAGUCCCAAUACCAGUCCCAGUCCCAGUCCCAGACCCAGUCCCAGUCCCAGUCCCAGUCCCAGUCCCAGUCCCAGUCCCAGUCCCAAUACCAGUCCCAGUCCCAGUCCCAGACCGGGCUAUAGUCACGGCCUAAGAGCAGCGGUGACGGCGCGGCCCAAGACAUGUCUUUAACAGCACUGACCUAUUUCCACCUAAAGAACUUUCCUGCAAGACAGUCCCGGUUUAAACCCGCCAUGCUGCAGAGGAGAAGCUCAGCAAUCUCAUCCAAGACUGUCAAGCCCAACAAGACAAAUUACGUUUCAACUGUAAACUGCUAUUAAGCAAGACUACACUGACCCAGAAAGUCAAAAAAUGUACCGCCCAACUCAGGAGAAGAGAAAUAAUCAAACCCAAUUUAAAUCUUGCGGCUCUAUGCAAAGACACACAAAGAUAGAGAGGGAAGAUGGGAGGGCAAGGAAGGAAACAAUUAAAUAUAUAAUCUUAAUUGCUAUUGAUUAUAGUUGGCUUUAGAUUCAAAUGUUAAGAAAUAAUACCGCUUUGAUUAUUAAAACAUGCUGAAGUAAAAUCAGGACUGAGGAAAUAACCACAGAGUAUCCCUUUAAUUAUGAUGUCAUAGAUACCAUCAGGAUUUAUUUAUUGAACCUUUAUUUAACUAGGCAAGUCAGUUAAGAACAAAUUCUUAUUUACAAUGACAGCCUACCCCAGCCACACCCGGACGAUGUUGAGCCAAUUGUGCGCCGCCCUAUGGGACUACCAAUCACAGCCAGGUGUGACUCAGCCUGGAUUUGAACCAGGGACUGUAGUGGACAGUAGUGUUCUCUCUUGCCCUGAGAUGCAGUGUCUUGGGCCACUGCACCACUCAGGGGCCAGAGGAUAGGGCACUGCUUCUCAACAAACAAUGUAGGAAUAAUAGAUUAUGGAAAUUGUCUUUUUUUUUUUAACUGGACCUAUUGAGUGUAAACUAGGGGCCACCCAUACUUAAAAUGAAUGCACGCGUGAAUAAGUCACUUUGGAUAACAGCAUCUGUAUUAAACUCUAGCACAGACGCAAGGUCAGUCAGGUUUACUGUCAGUCAGUUUUUAUCUUUGUAAGAGAAAAGAAGCUGUCUGGGCCGAGAGGACAAAGGGACCUGUUACAAUAGUGUCUGUCUCCUUCUCUGAUCAACCAAUCAGAGUCAGUCAGGGCCUGGAUCCGUGCUGCUUUGCACAUGUCCCAAUGCAGGGGAAAGUAGCCAGCACACUACUGUACUGCACUCCCCUGACACCAGAGGGCCUCAGCUGGGGAGGCCACCAAACUGCCAACCCUAGGCAUCACCGGUCAGGUAGGCCUCUGCCCUUGCUCUCUGAACAGGGAACUGUGACCACCUAUAGUCCUUCCAACUGUCCCUGUCCUCCAGUGUAGUGCAGUUCACUCAAUCACACACAAACACAACAUAUCCCCAAAUCAAAAGGUUAAGUAGAUCGUUAGCGAGAAAGCAUGAGCAGAUGUCAAACUUUCAUUACUGGGCAGUAAAUUAGCCUCAUUAAGCAGAGGACUGACUGACAUCUUCCCCAGAACCUGCUGUCAAGGGUCUUCCAUUAACAAUGACUGGGCCACUGCACAGUAUAGUGUAAACAGUGGCUUUACACAGAGACUGAGACACCAACAAAAAUACAGUUAGUGGCGUGUCCCACAGUCUCUACCUCUACGGUAGUGAACUUACUCACACAUUUUUCUGUGCCAUGAAUGGAUGACGGUCAGGAUUUUACAUGAGUGAUUUUCUCUGUCACAUCUAGGUAUUGAGUCUUGUACUGCUGAAUAUGUCUCUGUUGAAUGUGUCACUUGGGUUUAGCUGGUCCAGACAGAGACAGGCCGGCAGCCACGGCAGCCCCGGGGCAGGGUGUAAGAGCAGCACGGGGCCUUGCACAAUGUGGACGUGACAAGAAGUGAUGUGUUUUGAUGGUCCCUGGUCUUUGGGCCCACUAGCCCUUCAGACCAGAGGGGAGGUAGGGAUGUAGUGUGUCAGACAGACAGCUGUCUGAGAGCCAAUCAGAGGGCACUUGUCCAGAUAAGGAGAGAGAGAGAGAGAGAGAGAGAGAGAGAGAGAGAUAUUAUCAUAUUGAAGCAAAGUGACAGGGGUCACAGUGGGACAGGGGCCACAGUGGGACAGGGGCCACAGUGGGACAGGGGUCACAGUGGGACAGGGGUCACAGUGGGACAGGGGCCACAGUGGGACAGGGGCCACAGUGGGACAGGAAUCACAGUGGGACAGGGGUCACAGUGGGACAGGAGUCACAGUGUAUGUCCCUCUUUAGGGCUAUACAUUAGUGUUUCAUCAGCAGCUGCCCCCUACACCACCUGUACACACUUCCCUCCUAGUGUGCAUCUCUCCUGACCUCCCUACCCCUCCCUCCAGGGUCCAGCUGUCCCAAACCCUGAUCCCUCCCUCCUUCUCUCCAUCCCAUCUCCAAUAUAAGGGCAGGAAUGCAGGUCCCAGAAUAGACACAAGCAUCCAGUGAGAGAGGCCGUCAUUGUAAAUAAGAAUUUGUUCUUAACUGACUUGCCUAGUUAAAUAAAGGCUCAAAUAAAAAAACAUGUAAAACAAAUCUAAAACCAGCUGAUAGAGGGCAGACACCCCCCCAGUCCUUAAAACCAGCCAGACUGAUAGAGGGCAGACACACCCCCCCAGUCCUUAAAACCAGCCAGACUGAUAGAGGGCAGACACACCCCCCCAGUCCUUAAAACCAGCCAGACUGAUAGAGGGCAGACACACCCCCCCAGUCCUUAAAACCAGCCAGACUGAUAGAGGGCAGACACCCCC
rnacentral:lncRNA from 1 species